CUAGUGUAGCUCUAACAGAUGCAGGGAUAAUGAUGUAUGACCUUGUAACUUCAGUUUCAGUGGUUCCAAGCAUGCUGUUUCAAGGUUCUUUGCUUCUUGGGCUCAUCAGUAGAGCCACUCUUGGUUAUGCAAUGAGUGGUUUGCUUGAUUGGAGAGUAAUAGAUGGCACGUGAGGUGGAAAGCCCCUCUGUUUUGACUCAAUCCUCAUUUCAGAUGCCCAUUCCUCUCUUCUCGACACCGUUCGGUAUUGAAAAUUACCAAGUUUUAAUAUUUAUAUUGGCUCUCUUUAUAAACUCAGUAUGUUUUAAAUUUGUGUAUGAGUUUUUAUGAAGCUUGAAUCUGUGUUUUCCUUUCUAUUUGAAUUGGAAAAUAAUUUUCAACAUGGCAAGCAACUUUGUUUAAAACUGUACUACUACAGGUGUGUACAUGAUGUAAUUGUUUCUUCAUUUCCUUUGUGUCUUGUUCUUCAAAUAGUUUUAAAUAUAUGUGUUUACUUUCUUUACUUCAGUAGGUAGGAUCAUUUAUAAUUUUUUUUAAUUUUCUUUUUGUUCCUUUUUUGAGGAUAUGCUCUUGUUGCUCUUCUC